GUGCUCCAUUCAGCAGCACAUAUACUAAAAAUUGGAAUGAUACAGAGAUUAGUAUGGCCUCUGCACAAGGAUAACAGACAAAGUCAUGAAGCAUUUCAUAUUUUC